CUCCAAUCCCUCUUCUAUGGGCUCCAAAUGAGAGUGGAGAGGAAAGAAAAUUCGGAUCUAAUGUACUAUUAUGACAGAUUAUUUCCCUUUUUCCUCCAAAAAGGCUUUUAUAGUGCUACCUUAAGGAUCCAACUCGGUUUGGUCUACUUCCAAAUCGGUCUUAAUUUUUUCAUUUACCAGUAUCUCGCUCGUUCGACCUCGGUUUGACCUUCAAUUGGUC
rnacentral:lncRNA from 1 species